AUCACCGCGUCAGUCCUCGCACUCCUCCUCGCAGCGGCGACGUUCUCCUCAGCCGCCGGUUUACCCACGGCCGGCGGCGCGCCACGUAGGGUGCUGUGGAGCAAGGGCGUCCCGGCCGACCCGUUCUGCCCGUGGGAGGCCGUCAAGUUCGGCGCGUGCGCGGCGGUGCUCGGCCUCGCGGACGCGCAGGCCGGCGCGCAGCUCGGGAGCGAGUGCUGCCAGCUCGUGGGCGGUCUCGCCGCGACGGAGGCCGCCGCGUGCCUCUGCGUCGCCGCCAAGGAGGGCGUGCUCGGCCUCGUCUCCGCCGAGUGGUCCGUCGGCGUCGAGCUCCUCGCCAGCGCCUGCAAGACGGAGAUCCCCGACGGCUUCAAGUGCGUGUGACAUGUUGAUGUUGUUUGGUCUGGUGGAAGCGAGUGCCCAUGCAUUUGAGCAGUGCUGUCUGUCAAAGUGAAAAAACUGCUUUCUUCUUCGACUUGUAGACAUUUUGUUUCACUUCCCGGUGUAUGCAAACGUAAUUGCAUGUUUGCGUCAACUAUACAUGAAUCAUCGUCAGUUUA
rnacentral:rRNA from 1 species